GCUCAUCCUUGCCUGCACUGGGAAUUGCUCAGACCUGAGAACUUUCACCAAACUGGUAAGCAAGACCCGUACUCAUCACUCCCUUGACUGGUCCCUUCUGGGCGACAAUGGAUGGCUUUUCUUACUUAUUAAGCAUUGUAUUUCUUUCUUGUAAACUGCAUGUUUGGGCAAUUUCCUACUGGAUGGCUGUGUCCUACAGUGUUCUGCUUGCUCCUUGUAAAUCAAAGAAAUUAGCCCUUUGUCAUAUGUGUAACAAAUACCUCUUCUGUCUAACCCUUUCUCUUUGGCUCUGUUUAUGGUAAUGUUUUUGCAAUGCUUUCUUGUAAAGAGAAUGUUCAAGUUGCGUCUUGAAUGAUGAGUCAUCACAGUAAUUACUGGCACCUAUGUAUGCUUCAGACGCGCUGAGCUUGCUUCUGAGAGGUGAACAACAUAUUAACUCAUUUAAUUCUACCCCCCAAAGAUCAUUUACUUUUCCCCAAAACCCCAGGGGGUAAACCUACAAUCCCCUCUACUUUAGAGAAGAAACAAGCAGGUUGUCGGGUCAGGGAAGUAAUUUGUCAGGACCGCACAGCUGGUGAAAGCAGAGGCAGGAAUCAAAACCACAAGCAGCCAUUUGCCAGGCAGUCUGGGCACAGUGGCAGAGACUUGGAGGUGCCAGCCUGAGGCUGGGCUGACCCCUGGAGAGAAAGGGCAAAGGAAGCUGGUGCACACAGGGUGAGGGGUUCUCACUUGGUCAGAAGGGCCUCCACGUUGAGUUUCCGUGAACUCAGAGUCCAUGUCUAGACCUCGUAUUACUUCACAGCCUGAAGAAAAUGUCCAGGGAGGUGGAAGGAAAUGGAAACACACCGCACUGUGCCUGAAUACACACAAGUGUUGUAAGGCAUGUGUCUUAGUUAGGGUUUCAUUGCUGCAAACAGACACUAUGACCAGGCAACUCUUAUAAGGGACAACAUUUAACUGAAGUUGGCUUACAAGUUCAGAGGUUCAGUCCAUUAUCAUCAAUUUGGGAGCAUGGCAGCUUCCAGAUAGGUAUGAUGCAGGAGUUGCUGAGAGGUCUACAUCUUGUUCCAAAGGAAAACCGGAGAAGACUGGCUCAUGAGCAGUUAGAAGGAGGGUCUCAAAGCCUAUCUGAACAGUGACACAGUUCCUCCAAUAAGGCCACACCUACUCCAACUAGGCCACACCUCCUAAUAGCUGCACUCCCUGGGCCAAGCAUAUUCAAACCGUCACAGCAUGUUAUUGGGCUGAGCCAAUGACUCAAUAAUCCUUUCUAGGAUCACUGACAUGGCUCCUGGGAUUCCCAGCCAUGGGGUGGGCGAGCCUUAUAUACAUACUUAUAUACAUAUAUACAUACUUAUAUAUAUAUAUAUAUACAUAGAUGGCCUCUGCUUUAAGGGGCACUGGCAGCAAAUGUUUCUCUUGGUGGCUAUCUUACCACAUACAGGUGCAUUUUGGGAUGUCUUCUUGGGACAGCCUUGGCCAAGGUACCAUUCUCCAAGAGAACACAUCCAAAAAGAUAGAUCUGCAGCCCAACAGUCAUGUGCUGCCUUCAAAGACAGAUAAAAAUGAUGGCAGAUUAUGUGUGCCUCUGUCAUUAAUAUCUUAGAGCCUACUUGUAAUCUCAGCACUUGGGAGGUACAGGCAAGAGAAUCAGAAGUUUGUCAUCCUCUGUUGUGUAUCAAGUUCAAAGCCAGCCUACCCUAGAUGAGAUCCUGCUUUAAAAAAAAGUUUAAAAAUUUAAAAUUAUGAUGUCUUUCCAACUUGGAGGUGGUAUUAAGUCCUGUGUGAUGGACAGAAAAUUCUGGCUUGACAAAAUGUCAUGUUACUUGCUAAUAGCGCCCUGCUCGGCUACCUCUUGAUGGUGUCCAGCAGCUUUGCUGAUGCUUCUCAUGGCUGAGAUGGGAACUGUGGGAACUCUGGCUUCUGAAGCAAUGUGCUGAGGGAGGAAGAGUCCAUGAUGCAGAGCCUAGUAACUCAGUGUCACCUGUCAGGGAUGCCAAGACGGUACCAGCACCCACCCCAGCCCCAUCCUGUGCCAUGGCAGGUAUUGCUAACCAAUCAUGCCAUUUUGCCUGCUGAACCUGACUUUGACUCUUUGUAUCUCUCACCUCAGUCUAAUGGCUCAAAGCAGCAGUGCUGGGGUCUGACAAACCUGAGUUUAAGUCCUGAGGAACAUGGACAAUUUACUCAGCAUCUCUAAGCUCUGUUUUUCUUCCCAUUAAUCAGUCCCCAGAACUCCAUGACAAGGUAAAAUGGGCAGCUUGUCACAAAAAUGCCUUGAUAGAUGUAAAUCCCAGUUUUAUUCACACUGGGAAAGUUACAUGAAGUCUGUGAGCCGCUAAAUGUGUAGCUAAGCUUAGAUCGGUCUGAAGUCAACCCCUCCUUUAGGAGAGCGAGGCGGUCUCCCUAGGUGUUACAUUUAUUCACUGAUUUCCUUCUAAUUGCCAUUUGGGGGUAGGGCAGGUCCUGUUCUAGACUCUGGAGCAAAGGUCCUUUCUUCUACUUGAAGAUCUUCCUUUAUGGUGAGAAGAGAGACAGUCAACUGUCAAGCUCUUACUAUCAUGUACAAAUCAUGUUGUACUGACAAGUGGAAGUGCCUUGAAGAUUCCAGUCUGCUAACACUGAGGGACAGAGGUGACAAGCCCUCUGGCACGCCACGGAUUUGUCUUGUUCUCGUUCAUGCAAUUCACCUUCUUACCCAUGCAAUCAGAUACACAAUCAUUCAACACCACAACAAUAAAAUGAUUCUCAAGGGGUCAAUCCUUGUCAAAGGGAAGCUAAAUCAGGAAAACCUUUGUUCCUUAGAGAAGCUCUUCUUUAUAAUUAAGUCGAGGAUUAGCCAUAUCCAUAACAGUAAGACCUAUAUUUACAGACUCUGGGAUCCCCAUUGGUAAGAAUUUCCUCUGGACAUUGAUAAGAACUUCCUGUGAUGUGUGCACAANAAGUUCUCUGGACAGUUUUAUAGUGGGGUGAGAAGAUAAAUUAUCCAUCUAUNUGGGAGUGGCUGAUGAAAUUGUGAUCUACUCAAAUGAGGGGAUCUAUGAAACCAGAGGCUACAAAAAGUAAAGAAUAGAUGUGUAUAAACUAUAGGAACACAUGGAAACAACGCUCCCACUCAGAUGGGCUCCGGGUCCCCUAGAGCACAGCAGAAUCGCUGUCCCAUAGAGUCCUUGAGAUGUUUUGUCCAUUUUUUAAAAAAAAGACAGAAUCUCUCCAGCCCAGGGUGACCUCGAACUCCUGAUCCUACUGCCUGUAUGUUCCAAGUGCUGGGAUUAUAGGCAUGUGUCACCAUGACAUCAGAUUCUGGAGGUUAUUUUGCUAUAUUAAAAAUACUUANGGAUAAUAGAUAUGAAAGUGUUUGUAUACAUUUCUCCAAAGUUGGCUGUGUGAGGGAUAACAGAAGGAAUUUUGCACUCCAUUUUCACUGUGCCCGUUUCAAUGUGUUAGUUAACCAAAUGCUUGUACUCUCUGGACAUUAAUAAAUAUUAUGCAGGGCCUG
rnacentral:lncRNA from 1 species